AGUGAACGCUGGCGGUAGGCCUAACACAUGCAAGUCGAACGGCAGCACAGUAAGAGCUUGCUCUUACGGGUGGCGAGUGGCGGACGGGUGAGGAAUACAUCGGAAUCUACUUUUUCGUGGGGGAUAACGUAGGGAAACUUACGCUAAUACCGCAUACGACCUACGGGUGAAAGCACGGGAUCUUCGGACCUUGCGCGAUUGAAUGAGCCGAUGUCGGAUUAGCUAGUUGGCGGGGUAAAGGCCCACCAAGGCGACGAUCCGUAGCUGGUCUGAGAGGAUGAUAAGCCACACUGGAACUGAGACACGGUCCAGACUCCUACGGGAGGCAGCAGUGGGGAAUAUUGGACAAUGGGCGCAAGCCUGAUCCAGCCAUACCGCGUGGGUGAAGAAGGCCUUCGGGUUGUAAAGCCCUUUUGUUGGGAAAGAAAAGCAGCAGGUUAAUACCCCGCUGUUCUGACGGUACCCAAAGAAUAAGCACCGGCUAACUUCGUG
rnacentral:rRNA from 1 species